rnacentral:lncRNA from 1 species
UGAAAGCUGAGGCUUUCUCCAACUGUGAAAAUGGGAUAACUAUCCUCAACAUCACAAUACCCUUAAUAACCAGGACCAGUUUGAAUUACAUCCCAGUGGGCCUUCUUAUUGAUACUUCCCAGCAGGAGUUUCAGUCUGAUAAAUAGGUCAGGAUCCAGUUGGUCUGAUUCCCAUUUGAAUGCAUUACAAAACAGGAGGAUUUCAGCAUUACUGUCAAAAAGAUUUUCAGACAGACUAAAGAAGAUUCCCUCGAGCAACAUCCUACAUAUCACAGCUCAUUCAACAGAGCAGUGGAUGCCCUUGAUACCACAGACAGAAACAUUCUCUGUGCUGUACACUCUCAGGAUUAUUCUACCAGUUUGUUGCCCAGUCUUGGGAAGAACUGGUAACCAAGCAUCCUGAAUGGACUUUAUGCUGCACUCCUGCGCUUUGUCCUGGCAGACCUGAAGACUUGCGCUUCUUCAGAGGAACAGCUCUCUGCGUCACCAUUUUGAGGGAUCUGCUGCUGUUCUCUGUGCACUGCCAUGCAGGGCGUGGCUUCGUCUUCAAGCACCUCUGGGGCAGCCUUCUUGUCCUCAGACCGAGACACCCAUGCCCAGCGUGGCCUUUGGAGGGCUCCUCCUGUCGCCCUGGUACAACAGCCCAAAGGAAGCCAAGUGCGCUCUUGUCCACUGCUUGCUUGGGACUCCGUGCAGAAGAGAUGACACCUCGGGGAAAGGGGGACAGGGGGUGGGAGGAGAGGCCAUCGUGCAGUCAAUCCUGCGAGAUGGUAAACGCAGGAUAGCCUGUCCCCGCUAGUUGUGGAGGCGGAGGCAGGGCCGGGAGUACGGA